UUGUAAAAUGAGAGGAUGUUACUAGAAUAUUUACUAAUAAUUUCAAGUUCAGGCCUCUACUUUGAACUUGUCAUGACAGGUUUUCCAGUUUCUUAAUGCAAAAUGUGAGUCGGCAUUCCUUUCCAAGAGGAAUCCUCGUCAGAUCAACUGGACUGUCCUCUACAGAAGAAAACACAAAAAAGGACAGUCGGAAGAAAUUCAAAAGAAAAGAACUCGCCGUGCAGUCAAAUUCCAGAGGGCCAUAACUGGUGCCUCUCUUGCUGAUAUAAUGGCCAAGAGGAAUCAGAAACCUGAAGUUAGGAAGGCUCAACGAGAACAAGCUAUCAGGGCUGCCAAGGAAGCAAAAAAGGCUAAGCAAGCAUCUAAAAAGACAGCAAUGGCUGCUGCAAAGGCUCCCACAAAGGCAGCACCUAAGCAAAAGAUUGUGAAGCCUGUGAAGGUUUCUGCUCCUCGAGUUGGUGGAAAACGCUAAGUUGGCAGAUUGGAUUUUUAAAUAAAGAUCUGAUUAUAAUAUA